UAGCUGUAAAGGAGAGAAAAGCCAGACA
rnacentral:piRNA from 1 species